rnacentral:rRNA from 2 species
UGCAGAAUCCCGUGAACCAUCGAGUUUUUGAACGCAAGUUGCGCCCGAAGCCAUUCGGCCAAGGGCACGUCUGCCUGGGCGUCA